AAACUCAAAGGAAUUGACGGGGGCCCGCACAAGCGGUGGAGCAUGUGGUUUAAUUCGAUGCAACGCGAAGAACCUUACCUACUCUUGACAUCCAGAGAACUUAGCAGAGAUGCUUUGGUGCCUUCGGGAACUCUGAGACAGGUGCUGCAUGGCUGUCGUCAGCUCGUGUUGUGAAAUGUUGGGUUAAGUCCCGCAACGAGCGCAACCCUUAUCCUUUGUUGCCAGCGGUCCGGCCGGGAACUCAAAGGAGACUGCCAGUGAUAAACUGGAGGAAGGUGGGGAUGACGUCAAGUCAUCAUGGCCCUUACGAGUAGGGCUACACACGUGCUACAAUGGCAUAUACAAAGAGAAGCGACCUCGCGAGAGCAAGCGGACCUCAUAAAGUAUGUCGUAGUCCGGAUUGGAGUCUGCAACUCGACUCCAUGAAGCCGGAAUCGCUAGUAAUCGUGGAUCAGAAUGCCACGGUGAAUACGUUCCCGGGCCUUGUACACACCGCCCGUCACACCAUGGGAGUGGGUUGCAAAAGAAGUAGGUAGCUUAACCUUCGGGAGGGCGCUUACCACUUUGUGAUUCAUGACUGGGGUGAAGUCGUAACAGGGUAACCGUAGGGG
rnacentral:rRNA from 1 species